rnacentral:rRNA from 1 species
CCGACGGGAGCUUGCUCCCUUAGGUCAGCGGCGGACGGGUGAGUAACACGUGGGUAACCUGCCUGUAAGACUGGGAUAACUCCGGGAAACCGGGGCUAAUACCGGAUGCUUGAUUGAACCGCAUGGUUCAAUCAUAAAAGGUGGCUUUUAGCUACCACUURCAGAUGGACCCGCGGCGCAUUAGCUAGUUGGUGAGGUAACGGCUCACCAAGGCGACGAUGCGUAGCCGACCUGAGAGGGUGAUCGGCCACACUGGGACUGAGACACGGCCCAGACUCCUACGGGAGGCAGCAGUAGGGAAUCUUCCGCAAUGGACGAAAGUCUGACGGAGCAACGCCGCGUGAGUGAUGAAGGUUUUCGGAUCGUAAAACUCUGUUGUUAGGGAAGAACAAGUACCGUUCGAAUAGGGCGGYACCUUGACGGKACCUAACCA